AGAACGAACGCUGGCGGCAGGCCUAACACAUGCAAGUCGAGCGCUGUAGCAAUACAGAGCGGCGCACGGGUGAGUAACACGUGGGAACGUGCCCUAUGGUUCGGAAUAACUCAGGGAAACUUGAGCUAAUACCGGAUAAGCCCUUCGGGGGAAAGAUUUAUCGCCAUUGGAGCGGCCCGCGUUGGAUUAGCUUGUUGGUGGGGUAAAAGCCCACAAGGCGACGAUCCAUAGCUGGUUUGAGAGAACGACCAGCCACACUGGGACUGAGACACGGCCCAGACUCCUACGGGAGGCAGCAGUGGGGAAUCUUGGACAAUGGGGGAAACCCUGAUCCAGCCAUGCCGCGUGAGUGAUGAAGGCCCUAGGGUUGUAAAACGUCUUUCGGCGGGACGAUAAUGACGGUACCCGCAGAAGAAGCUCCGGCUAACUCGUGCCAGCAGCCGC
rnacentral:rRNA from 1 species